ACCACCGGAAGUAACAGAGACGACGGAGACGAUACGUCUGAGGAGAGCGUUAAUGAUGAAGACGAAGAAGACGACGAGGAUGCCGGAAAUGGCGGUGGUAUGAGGAUGUUGCCUCCGCCGCCGGCCAAUCCAUCUACAGCAGCAUCGGCUAUGACGAGUAAUCAUCAUAAUCAUAAUCCUCAUCCUCAGCAGCUUCACCAUCGCAAGAGUUUUCCCCCAUCUGCUAAUAAAGUCUUUAGACCUGCUGCGCCACCGC
rnacentral:lncRNA from 1 species